CACUCUUGUCGCCCAGGCUGGAGUGCAAUGGUGCAAUCUCAGCUCACUGCAACCUCUGUCUCCCAGGUUCAAGCAAUACUGCUGCCUCAACCUCCCGAGUAGCUGGGAUUACAGCGUGUUAUGAUGCCGUCCCAUACCAACCUGGCUACUGGAAUCCCCAGUAGUAAAGUGAAAUAUUCAAGGCUCUCCAGCACAGACGAUGGCUACAUUGACCUUCAGUUUAAGAAAACCCCUCUAAGAUCCCUUAUAAGGCCAUCUCACUUGCCACUGUGCUGUUUUUGAUUGGCACCUUUCUCAUUAUUAUAGGCUCCCUCAUGCUGUCAGGCUACAUCAGCAAAGGCGGGGCAGACCGGGCCGUUCCAGUCCUGAUCAUUGGCAUUCUGGUAUUCCUACCCGUAUUUUACCACCUGCGCAUCCCUUACUAUGCAUCCAAAGGCUACCGUGGUUACUCCUAUGAUGACAUUCCAGACUUUGAUGACUAGCACCCACCCCAUAGCUGAGGAGAAGAGUCACAGUGGAACUGUCCCAGCUUUAAGAUAUCUAGCAGAAACUAUAGCUGAGGACUAAGGAAUUCUGCAGCUUGCAGAUGUUUAAGAAAAUAAUAGCCAGAUUUUUUGGGUCCUUCCCAAAGAUGUUAAGUGAACCUACAGUUAGCUAAUUAGGACAUGCUCUGUUUUUCAUCCCUUGGCCCUGACAAGUUUUUCCGCAGGAAUAUGUAUCAUGGUAGAAUAGAGGUUAUUCUGUAAUGGAAAAGUGUUGCCUGCCACCACCCUCUGCAGAGCUGAGCAUUUCUUUUAAAUAGUCUUCAUUGCCAAUUUGUUCUUGUAGCAAAUGGAAGAAUGUAGUAUGGCUAAUUUCUUAUUAUUAAGUAAUUUAUUUUAAAAAUAUCAGAGUAUAUUAUCCUGUACACUUAUCUCUACCUUCAUGUUCCAGUGGAAGACCUUAGUAAAAUCAAAGAUCAGUGAGUUCAUCUGUAAUAUUUUUUUACUUGCUUUCUUACUGACAGCAACCAGGAAUUUUUUUAUCCUGCAGAGCAAGUUUUCAAAAUGUAAAUACUUUCUGUGUUUAACAGCCCUUGGCCCAUUCUGAUCCAGUUCACCAGUAGGUUGGACAGCAUAUAAUUUGCAUCAUUUUGUCCCUUGUAAAUCAAGAUGUUCUGCAGAUUAUUCCUUUAACGGCCGGACUUUUGGCUAUUUCCUAAUGAAACAUGUACAUUAGUGGUUAUUAUUUAGAGUUUAUAGCCCUAUUGCUAGCACCUUGUAGUAUGUCAUCAUUCUGCUCAUGAUUCCAAGGAUCAGCCUGGAUGCCUAGAGGACUAGAUCGCCUUAGUUUGAUUCUAUUUUUUAGCUUGCAAAAAGUGACUUAUAUUCCAAAGAAAUUAAAAUGUUGAAAUCCAAAUCCUAGAAAUAAAAUGAGUUAACUUCAAA
rnacentral:lncRNA from 1 species